AGAGUUAAAAGUACGUGAAAUUGCUAAAAGGGAAACAUUUGACACCAGUAUUUGGGAGUCGGAAAUCAGCCUCUUCGGGGGUGCACUUUCCGGCUACCAGGUCAACAUCAGUUUCGCCUGCCGUAAAAAAGCCAAGAGAAGGUAGGUGUUUAUUCACUGUUAUAGCUCUGGCCAAUGCGGUGGGUGGGACUGAGGACUGCGGUGCAUGCCUUUGGCUGGGUUCGCGGCAGCUGUGUAGGAAAGAGUUAUGGACAGCUUGCUGACUAUGGCUCUUCUCUUAUACAAUCUGUUGUACAACCACAAAUGCACCUAGGAUGUUGACGAAAUGGUUUUAAAUGACC
rnacentral:ncRNA from 2 species